GACGAACGCUGGCGGCGUGCUUAACACAUGCAAGUCGAACGGACAGGCCCUGCUUUUGUGGCGUGCUCGUUUGGCGAACGGGUGUGAAACACGUGUGUAACCUCCCCUUAACUUUGUGAUAACUUCUGGGAACUCGGGCGCUUAUCGCAUAGGAUCUCCUGCUGCACGUGGUUGGUUGGUAAGUUCCGGCGGUUGGGGAUCGAAUAGCUGCUUAUCAGCUUGUUUGUGUGGUAGUUGCUUACCAAGGCUUUGACGGGUAGCCGGCCUGAGAGGGUGACCGGCCACAUGAGGACUGAGAUAGGGCCCAGAAUCCUACGGGAGGCAGCAGUGGGGAAUAUUGCGCAGUGGGGGGAAGCCUGAUGCAGCAGCGCCGCGUGCGGGAUGACGGCCUUCGGGUUGUAAACAGCUUUCGCAUGUGACGAAGAGUGAGUGACGGUAAUGGGUAAGGAAGCAACGGCUAACUACGUG
rnacentral:rRNA from 1 species